UACGUAGGGGGCUAGCGUUGUCCGGAAUCAUUGGGCGUAAAGCGCGUGUAGGCGGUCCGGUAAGUCCGCUGUGAAAGUCGGGGGCUCAACCCUCGAAUGCCGGUGGAUACUGUCGGGCUAGAGUGCGGAAGAGGCGAGUGGAAUUCCUGGUGUAGCGGUGAAAUGCGCAGAUAUCAGGAGGAACACCAAUUGCGAAGGCAGCUCGCUGGGACGUAACUGACGCUGAGAAGCGAAAGCAUGGGGAGCGAACAGG
rnacentral:rRNA from 1 species